CACACACGGGCUCGGGCUCGCACUCGCCUCCUCUCCCUGUCGCCCAGAAGUCUUCGCCGCCGCCGCCACCACCCACGCCGACCGCUUCCGGCGAGCUCCGGCACCGCGCAACAUGUACCCGAGCUCCCCACAGUCCGCGCCUCCCUCCCCUCCGGCUAUAUUCUCCGCUCCCGGCAUCUAUCGCCCGCUCGCAGCCCCGCCCCCAUGGCUAGGGUUUCGAGCAGGGCUUCGCCGGUGCAUCUCCCGCUCGCCGUCUUCUCCCACCAUGCCGGCCUCCCUUCUCUAGGCACCCUCCCACCGUUCGGCACCCCCGCACUGGGCAUUCCUUUCUCUCCCCCUCACGGCUCCUCCCGUCGCCGAACUGGAGCACCAGCCGCUCCUCCUCCACCUCCCCGAUUUGGGGCAGCAACGCCACGAGCUAACACCCCUGCGUGGGCUUGCUCAAUCUGGGGCAAACGCGCCAGUUCCGGCAUGGCGAGAGGAGGAAGGUGAGACGGGAGGCCAAGGCAACGGCGAGAUCCACGUCGAGCUGCCAUUGCCAUGGCCAUGACCUGAUCCACGAAGAGGUUAAAUGGGGUCGGCUGCUCCCUAAAGGACGACGAAGCUCUCCAAGGGUGGGCCUUCUCUUUUCCCCGAGAAUGAUGUACCUGUGGCAUGAUUGCUCUUCAUGUGUACGUGCUUGCUGUAUUUACCUGCAUCUGAUGGUUCUUCCAAUGUGCGUGUUUGAGAAAUACACCUGCAGAUUGACCCGGCGAAAUACAAGAGCAUCUCAUCUGGAUUUAGCGUUCUGCUAAAGGAGCAAGGAGCUAGGGUUUUUUUCAGGGGAUGGGUGCCUACCUUGCUUGGUUACAGUGCUCAGGGGGCUUGCAAGUUUGGGUUCUACAAGUUCUUUAAGAAGACCUACUCAGAUAUGGUUGGGCCUGAGAAUGCCGUGAAGUACAUGACCCUAUAAUUUACCUUGUAGGGUCAGCUUCUGCUGAGGUAAUUUCUGAUAUCGCUCUAUGCCCCUUUGAAACUGUCAAGGUCCAUGUGCAGACACAACCUGGAUUUGCUUGUGGGUUGAGUGAUGGGCUUCCCAAGUUCAUCAAAUCUGAGGGUGCUGCUGGGUAAGUAAAUCUCCAGCCAUCUUAACAACUUCAUGAUUUGCUUUACUUACCCUUAUCCUAUGCGCUCUAACUUAUUGGUUAAUAAUGCCAGGCUUUACAAGGGAAUUGUUCCUCUCUAGGGUCGGCAGAUUCCUUACAAGUGCUUUCUCUCAUCAUUCUGUUAUAGUCUUCUAAUUUGAAUUGUCACUACUAUGGUUGUUUCACAAAUGUGGCCUGCUUUGGAACCAAAUGCUCUAAAGCUGGUCUCCUGUUUCAUCUAAUCGGCCUGUUUGUUUUUCUUUGAUACCAAUUGGUGAUGUUUAGUUACCUUUUCUUCUCCUAUAUGAGCAAACUACUAUCCUAUUGAUGGCCAACCAUGCUGAUACUAUUCUAUAUUCGUUUUACCAUUUCUAUUUGUUGCCUAGCUUACGGACAUUAUUCAUCGACUCCUUAGAGUCAUUCUCUCCACAGUUAUUCACUUUUCUUGCCAAAAGUAAAUAUGUUAGCCAGACAUGAGAUUACUGUAUGUAUGUCCAUCCACACUUGCGCUGCAGCAGAAGAGAACAACUUAGCAUAUAUGACCCACACAAUAAUAAAGAGUAAAGAAAAGGAUUAGAUAUUUUUAUAUAGUAUAAAUAAUAAAGAAGCGUGACCCCAGACUGUUAAAUAUGUGAUAUAUAUAUCCAAAGGAGAGUGAAGAUAGCUUUUUUGUUGUGCUGCCAACUGGGUUAACAAAUUCAGUUUAUGUUAUUGUUCUGUACAACAAUACCUUGCUAAACGAUGGACGUCCUCAGCGAAGAAAACCAUGUCCAUGACCCUCUAAAGAAGAAAGAACACAAGCCAUAAGAAACAAAUGCACUUUCAUAUACUUAGUAGAAGUCGACUCCAAGUGAAAAUGAGGAGUGCAUAGCCGGUUACCAUCUAAAGAUAUUGGCAUCAGAAAUCCUCAAACACCUCCUUGAACAGUUAAAUUGCAGGGCAAGUUUACAUAGACUAUUUUGUAAAUUAAAAUUACUGAAUAUGAGCACACGAGCAAACAACCAGACAGUAACGGCCUAAUGGGCAGUGAUUAUUCAUGAGUGUCAUCCCAUAGAAUGUUCAAAUUCACUAAAAUAAGCCAAUUCAGCCCUUACAGUCUAGCAGAACAUCUCUCACAGAUUUUGCCACUGAUUCGUGAGUGGGGAGGAUAUAGAUGCCAGGCGGGAUAUGGCGAGAUACAAUGCCGAUGUCUAACGACACCAGUGGGUCGAGCGACACGGGCUUCUGUCCAGCGACGCCAAGAAAGAAGCGGUAAUGAUGGGCGCCGACCAGUCUACGCGUAUUAUUGUCUUACGGUCCAAUUUUGUGUUUUUCAUAUCAACAUGAUUGUUUUACCGUCAAUUUUCUGAAUAUUGUUAGUGACUAACUAUUUCCUAAUUUUGUUUAUUUAGGUUGGAGAAGAUAUGUAAGGCUAAUGUUUGAGCAGAAGGAGAGUGAAAAGAUGCAAGAGUGAUACACCCAAGCAAUUGAUUUGAGUCAAACCUGGUUUGUUGUACAUGAUUCCACCGUAUUUGUCCGCACAAAUACUUCUUGAUAUUUACUCAUGAUAGUUUUUCUCCAUAGUUCGGUGUCUACAUUUUUAUUCUCCUAAUAUAGUCAUAUUGUCCAUAUAAGUGCAGAUUUUAUUUUGAGUUCUUCCUUGGUGCAACUCUGAAGCGAAAUCUUCCUGGGUGUAUCAUGCACCUCUGUCUUGCCGUUCUAUAUUCUCAAGUCUGAACUGCAGAUUCUCAAAGGUAUGAAAGUUGUUGGUGUGGUGACCGCCAUAGGGCCCGGGCUGACUGGCAGGAACAUUGGGGAUGUUGUGGCGUACGCAGGCAAGCCGAUGGGCUCUUAUGCCAAAGAACAGAUUAUUUCAGCCAAUGUUGGUUCCCAUCACGCCUUUGAUUGAUCACACAGCGGCUGCUAUCGUGCUGAAGGGGAUGACUGUCCAUAUGCUGGUUCACCACAUAUUUAAGGUACAUUUUGUCUUGCUCCUGCUGUGUGACAUACUGACCUGCUGCACAUCCGCGUGAAGCACAUCCACCCGCUGCCGGAGGCGUCCCGUGCCCACGCUGACUUCAAGGCCCGGAAGACGC